rnacentral:rRNA from 1 species
GACGGAGGGUGCGAGCGUUAUUCGGAAUUAUUGGGCGUAAAGGGCGUGCAGGCGGCGGAUCAAGUCAGAUGUGAAAGCCCAGGGCUUAACCCUGGAAGUGCAUUUGAAACUGGUCGGCUUGAGUUCGGGAGAGGGAAGCGGAAUUCCGGGUGUAGAGGUGAAAUUCGUAGAUAUCCGGAGGAACACCGGUGGCGAAGGCGGCUUCCUGGACCGAAACUGACGCUGAGACGCGAAAGCGUGGGGAGCAAACAGG